rnacentral:rRNA from 1 species
GACGAACGCUGGCGGCGUGCCUAAUACAUGCAAGUCGAACGCAUUUUCUUUCACCGUAGCUUGCUACACCGACAGAAAAUGAGUGGCGAACGGGUGAGUAACACGUGGGUAACCUGCCCAUCAGCGGGGGAUAACACUUGGAAACAGGUGCUAAUACCGCAUAAUUCCAUUUACUGCAUGGUAGAUGGAUGAAAGGCGCUUUUGCGUCACUGAUGGAUGGACCCGCGGUGCAUUAGCUAGUUGGUGGGGUAACGGCCUACCAAGGCUGCGAUGCAUAGCCGACCUGAGAGGGUGAUCGGCCAACAUGGGACUGAGAAACGGCCCAGACUCCUAAGGGAGGCAGCAGUAGGGAAUCAUCGGAAAUGGACGCAAGUCUGACCGAGCAACGCCGCGUGAGUGAAGAAGGGUUUCGGAUCGUAAAACUCUGUUGUUAGAAAAGAACAAGGAUGAGAGUGGAAAGUUCAUCCCUUGACGGUAUCUAAACAGAAAGCCACGGCUAACUACGUG